rnacentral:rRNA from 1 species
UACGUAGGGUGCAGGCGUUAAUCGGAAUUACUGGGCGUAAAGCGUGCGCAGGCGGUUUGCUAAGACAGGUGUGAAAUCCCCGGGCUUAACCUGGGAACUGCGCUUGUAACUGGCAAGCUAGAGUGUGGCAGAGGGGGGUGGAAUUCCACGUGUAGCAGUGAAAUGCGUAGAUAUGCGGAGGAACACCGAUGGCGAAGGCAAUCCCCUGGGCCUGCACUGACGCUCAGGAGCGAAAGCCAGGGGAGCAAACAGG